UCGUUUGACAGAUAUAGGUUACAGUGAGGAAUAGCUGGAUGCAGGUUAUUAAGACAGAAGAAAAAAAUGUCACCAGAUACUGCAAGAAAUAAUGCACAAGAGACAGUAAUGUUGCCUUGUAAUACGUGUGUGCACGCAGUAAAACUAUAAUAGUAGUAUUAGAAGUGCGACAUAUUUUAUUAUAUUUCACAUCAAGAAGAGGAGCAUAUAACAUCAUCAAUAAAAGAUCUUUGAUUGAUAUAAGCAGCGACAGUCGUUCCAAUAAGAGGAAACGAAGGGAUGAAUUGCUUGUUUCAUGAAGCAAAUAAUUUGAUGACGAAGCAACAGUAUUUUGGUGCUCUCCAAAAAUAGGAGCUGUCGCUGUGAAAUUCUAGUAUUUUAUCUGAGUGAAGGAUAUCUGGUAGUGAUUAUUAAAAUACCACAAGAAGAAUCGUGCAAGUAUUACAGGAAAUACGAUAAAGUUUGACAGGUAUAUUGAAAUUGGCCAAUUAAAAUAUACUACGAUCUGACAAAGUGUACAAUGGAAGGAAUUAAGUGAGCUGUACAUAAUAUAAUUGAAGCAUAAGAUGAUGAUGAGCGGUGUGGAUAACAAAUUUGCUGGUAUUUGUAUUAAUUCAUGAAAUGAAUGAAUAAAUGUUUGUAAUUAAUAAAUUAAUAUCAUAUGAAAUAUAUAUAUUCACUUUCUUUACCCGCUCUCCUUUUCUUUUUCUCUCUUCAAUUA